rnacentral:rRNA from 1 species
UAGUUUACUAAACUGUCGGCUAAGUGGCGCCGGGUGAGUAAUGUAUAGUUAACCUGCCCUCGAGAAAGGAAUAACAGUUGGAAACGACUGCUAAUGCCCUAUAUGCCCUUAAUACAUAAGUAUGCACGGGAAACGCUUUUGUGCUCAAGGAUGGGACUGUAUGGUAUCAGAUAGUUGGUGAGGUAAUGGCUCACCAAGUCAAUGACGCCUAACUGGUUUGAGAGGAUGAUCAGUCGCGCUGAAACUGAGACACGGUCCAU